rnacentral:rRNA from 1 species
UGGGGAAUAUUGCGCAAUGGGGGAAACCCUGACGCAGCGACGCCGCGUGCGGGAUGAAUGUCUUUGGGUUGUAAACCGCUUUUGAUUGGGAGCAAGCUUUCUGGUGAGUGUACCUUUCGAAUAAGCGCCGGCUAACUACGUGCCAGCAGCCGCGGUAAUACGUAGGGCGCAAGCGUUAUCCGGAAUUAUUGGGCGUAAAGAGCUUGUAGGCGGUUCGUCGCGUCUGGUGUGAAAGCCCAUCGCUUAACGGUGGGUUUGCGCCGGGUACGGGCGGGCUAGAGUGCAGUAGGGGAGACUGGAAUUCCCGGUGUAACGGUGGAAUGUGUAGAUAUCGGGAGGAACACCAAUGGCGAAGGCAGGUCUCUGGGCUGUUACUGACGCUGAGAAGCGAAAGCGUGGGGAGCGAACAGG